rnacentral:rRNA from 1 species
GACGAACGCUGGCGGCGUGCCUAAUACAUGCAAGUCGAGCGCAGGAAAUCGACGGAACCCUUCGGGGGGAAGUCGAUGGAAUGAGCGGCGGACGGGUGAGUAACACGUAAAGAACCUGCCCUCAGGUCUGGGAUAACCACGAGAAAUCGGGGCUAAUACCGGAUGGGUCAUCGGACCGCAUGGUCCGAGGAUGAAAGGCGCUUCGGCGUCGCCUGGGGAUGGCUUUGCGGUGCAUUAGCUAGUUGGUGGGGUAAUGGCCCACCAAGGCGACGAGGCAUAGCCGACCUGAGAGGGUGAUCGGCCACACUGGGACUGAGACACGGCCCAGACUCCGACGGGAGGCAGCAGUAGGGAAUCUUCCACAAUGGACGAAAGUCUGAUGGAGCAACGCCGCGUGAACGAUAAAGGCCUUCGGGUCGUAAAGUUCUGUUGUAAGGGAAGAACAAGUGCCGCAGGCAAUGGCGGCACCUUGACGGUACCUUGCGAGAAAGCCACGGCUAACUACGUGCCAGCCGCCGCCGUAAAAC